rnacentral:tRNA from 1 species
GGGGUCGUAGCUCAGGUGGUAGAGCAGCCGCCUUUUAAGCGGCUCGUCGCAGGUUCAAAUCCUGUCGGCCCCACCA